GGUAACUGGGACUGACAUGUAAAACAAGCUUGUUUCUAAUUUGAAUAAAAAAAUCACAAAAAAAGGAUCUCAAGUUUCACAGGAAAUUAUCUGUGCAAAUGAGCAAGAGGAUACUACGACAGCACUUAUGUCUUCCUGUCCUAAAACCCCGACCACAAUAGCAAAGAAAUAUAGUCUCUCAGAAGCAGUUAGGAAAUAACUGUAUGAAAAGCUAAUUUUAUUUUAUCUGUUUCCUGGGAGUUUAAUCCUCUGCUUUACAGAAGUGGUCCAAAUAUUUGUUAUACCAUGUUACUCUCCCAGCAUCACAUGAAGGGGAGGAGGGGAAACACUAUAAAAUGCUAUAAUCCUUUGCAAGAAUAAUUUGUCUACCGAUACAAGGGACCAACAUUUAUAUAAGCAUGGAAAGUUAAUAUAAGAUGGAAAUUAACUUAGAACCUUUUUGUGAUAAUUUUUAAUCAUUUCUCAUAUGUUAUACCUGUCUACAAAAGCAAACAAACAACAACAACACAAAUAAACCAAUAGAAACAAAUGGUGGAAAAUGAUGCCUUAGGAUCCUGUUUCAAAAUUUGUUUUGGGGAACUGAAAUUAUACUGUCAAAAUAGUAAUAACUAUUUAGCCUUCAAGGACAUUUUACAUCAAGUUAUUAAUUGUUCUUCACAACUGCACUAACAUGUAUGAAUCUUGUAUAACCAGAAAUUUGAUAUGGUAUUUUUAAAUUCUGCCUCCAGGAUAUUCAAAAAACAAUAUUAUCUGAAAAGUGUUUACCAUUAUACCUUCAAGAUAGUAUCUUCCUUUUCUAAUUGUAAAUCUCAAUCUCCCAUUCAUAUUGAUUGAUUAAUUUGUUUCGUGUCUAGGGCCCGAAGUAAUCUGGAGUUACUUAUACAGCUUUCAUGGAAUUCUGGAAGGCAAUUUGAAUAAGCCUGUUGAGAGCUCCAAAUCUGAAGUGGACAUUAUAGUGUCACAACAAGCAGUGAACUUGGAAACAACUGAACUUUCAGUGAAAGACCCCAAGUCAGAUCUACUAGAGCAACUUCAGGGACUUCUGAGUCCAGGAGUGGAGGAAGGGUUGAGUGAACAAAGAGACUCUGCUCUCAGAAGAAUGGAGAAAUCCUCAUCAUAG
rnacentral:lncRNA from 1 species